rnacentral:rRNA from 1 species
UUUAACUGAGCGUUCAGUUACUUGACGUAGACCCGAAACCGGGCGACCUACCCAUGAGCAGGAUGAAGCGAAAGUAAAAUUUCGUGGAGGUCCGAACCCACGAGCGUUGAAAAGCUCGGGGAUGACUUGUGGGUAGCGGUGAAAUUCCAAUCGAGCCCGGAGAUAGCUGGUUCUCCCCGAAAUAGCUUUAGGGCUAGCCUCAAGGUGAGAGAUACGGAGGUAGAGCACUGAAUGUCCUAGGGGGUAUUGCACCUACCGAAGACUAUCAAACUCCGAAUGCCGUCAUCUUAUACUUGGGAGUCAGACUGUGGGUGAUAAGAUUCAUAGUCGAAAGGGCAACAGCCCAGAUCGUCAGCUAAGGUCCCUAAAUGUAAGUUAAGUGGUAAAGGAUGUGGGAUUGCACAGACAACCAGGAUGUUGGCUUAGAAGCAGCCACUCAUUCAAAGAGUGCGUAAUAGCUCACUGGUCGAGUGAUCCUGCGCCGAAGAUUUCCGGGGCUAAAACUUACUACCGAAGCUACGGCAUCAGUAAUGAUGGGUAGGGGAGCUUCCCAUACGGGUUGAAGCAUGACCGUAAGGACAUGUGGACAGUAUGGGAGUGAGAAUGUUGGCAUGAGUAGCGAGAUGUGGGUGAGAAUCCCACAGGCCGUAAACCCAAGGUUUCCAGGGGAAGGUUCGUCCGCCCUGGGUUAGU